UCAAAAUAGUGUUACACUAGGAAUAUCGAGUUCAAAUCAACCUUAGAACCAUCUAUGGCCGUCCAAUCAUGACCAACUCACACCAGAGCCAUCCAAUCAUGUACUACAACUUCAGAUCAAGCUUGAUCAUAUCCGAAUUGAGUUCCAGCCAUCCGAUCGUGACUGCAUGCGAUCUGUUUCGUCAGAUCAUGCACAAACACCCCUGGAUUGCGCAUAAACUGCAUGAUCUGUCCACGCGGCCUCCAUGGACAACCCAACACCCUGUGGUCCAUGGUGGACCAUGAUAGGGCGUUAGGCUUGGGCGCCUGUUGGGCCUGCCGGGCCCGACUGCACCGCCGCCGGCCUCCGCCACCUUAGGGACCAUGCCACCUGCUCUGAACUUUCUUUCGCACGUAUCUUCACCGUCUGAAUUUUGUUUGGGCUAUUCUUGAGCUCGUUGGACUCCGUUCGUCAUUCUGGACCUUGUUGUGGAUUCAGUGUGGAUCGCAUCUCGAGGUAUCAAAUCUCAACAGUAAAUUGAGCAAACCUAUGAUCUAAUCCAAUCUCGACCUAACUCGAUGUAUGCUCAUAUGUUUUCUUAAGAGCUUUGUGUUGGAUAGAUAUUUUGAAAAUUAUGUCUUGUAAUUUUUGAAUUGAUCCGAGUUAGUCCCAAUUCGACCCAACUAGAAAGCCAUAAUCAUGCAAAACAAGUCCCUCCUUUCCUCUUAAGCAUCUUUCUCAAU
rnacentral:lncRNA from 1 species